rnacentral:tRNA from 5 species
AUCUUUCUAGUACAAAUUAGUAUAAGUGACUUCCAAUCACCCGGCCUUGGUUAGAGUCCAAGGAAAGAUA